GCUGGAAAGCUCAGUGGGUAGAGCACGAGGCUGUUAGGGUCGUGGGUUCGAGCCCCACACUGGGCA